AUGCAGUGACCCACGCAACAAUCUUCUAUUGCAUCAUUUCUCUGCUGCAUGGGCCACGGAAUGCCAUGGGGUCGUGCUGAGUACAACAUAAUCAUUACACUGACAGUGACAGACACACGGUGCGAAAGCUAGCGGGCACGUAAAGAUUUUAUAACUAAGUAUAAGUAUAAGGACUAUCAGCUACAAUCACGCGAGGCGGGGGACAAUAAGAUGAUUAAACUCUUCUUGGCGCCCUUUGCACGUCAGAGUGCGUCUGGCUUCACAAUGUUCAUCGAACUGGGCUUCUCCAUAGUACUAUAAUUAUAAUGCAGUCCAAGACCUCUCCGUACAGCACAUAUCUAUUUUUCCAUCGCAGUCUUUGAAGCUCUGCCCGCUGUUGCACGCACGCGCGUAGACAUUAUUUUGGUCAGAAAUAUUCUACUAUUAGUCGGCUGUCCUAUUCUAUGUCCAUAUCGUGUACGAGAAGGUCUUCCAACUACAGGAGAACUGAAGAUCAAGUUAGUGGACGUCAGUAACAAGCGCGACCACUUAAACUAUGGGCAGCAACACAGGAGACGGCCUACAGUGGCUUCGAGACAUUCGUUCAGAGUAUGCACGGUUUGGUCCACCCAUUCUACCACCGUACCCACUCAGCCGACUCAUCCCCGCAGGAACUGAUCCAGAAAGGGAGGAGGAAAUCCGAAGGGUAGUGCGGGAGAAGAUGUUCGAUUUCAUCGAUGCUCAUCCUGAACUCAACCUCGAGUUUUGCUAUAAGCUUAUACUAGGCACCUACAGGUAAUGAUUGAUCCAGCGCAAUCUACAGAAUGAGCGACGUGGAAGCAAGAGUGUCAUCAGUGCUAUGAAAUGUGUGAACACUGAACGUUUAAGUAGCAUCAUAAUUCCGAACCACGCAAGUUCAUAAAACAUUGAUUGAGAAAAAUCCGCCCUGAAAUAGUACUAGAAAGAGGAUGUAUUCUCGAUUACGUAAUUGUACACCUGGUCAGCAGGAUGGUGACGUGGUUGAAUUUCACACUGCAUGUAAUGAGUCAGUUUUGUUUUGUACUUACUUGUCACACGUUCUUACUUAAAAUCCACCUGGUUAUAUUUCUGAGACACUGUACUCAUAAUUCUAAUCCAUGUGUUGGUUCUUCUCUUUUUAUUCCUUUUCAAUUCAAUUACGUUUCUUUCUCUCUGUGAUGUGCUUACUGAUGGUGGUCACUGAAAAGGGCAAUAGAAGAUGCAUGAAAAUGUUAAGCCCUGCUUCGCGCGCACAAUUGGCUCUUGUGCAUACGUAAUGUUUUGUUACGGAGGUUAGGUUUCACGUCAAAUUGCACUUAACGUCAAAAAUUUAAAACACUCCGGUAAAAUUUGCCGUGCUUUA